AUUGAACGCUGGCGGCAGGCCUAACACAUGCAAGUCGCGCGAGCGGCGGACGGGUGAGUAAUGUCUGGGAAACUGCCUGAUGGAGGGGGAUAACUACUGGAAACGGUAGCUAAUACCGCAUACCAUCAGAUGUGCCCAGAUGGGAUUAGCUGGUGGGGGGGGUAACGGCUCACCAGGGCGACGAUCCCUCGCUGGUCUGCGAGGAUGACCCGCCACACUGGAACUGAGACACGGUCCAGACUCCUACGGGAGGCAGCAGUGGGGAAUAUUGCACAAUGGGCGCAAGCCUGAUGCAGCCAUGCCGCGUGUGUGAAGAAGGCCUUCGGGUUGUAAAGCACUUUCAGCGGGGAGGCGUUACCCGCAGAAGAAGCACCGGCUAACUCCGUGCCAGCAGCCGCGGUAAUAC
rnacentral:rRNA from 1 species